CCUAAGACAUGCAAGUCGUACGCGAACGACCUUUCGGGGUUAAGUAGAGUGGCGAACGGGUUAGUAACGCGUGGGAACAUACACAGCACAGGGGGAUAACCAUUGGAAACGAUGGCUAAUACCGCAUACGCCCUAUUGGGGAAAGAUUUAUCGGUGUUGGAUUGGCCCGCGUUAGAUUAGCUAGUUGGUGGGGUAAUGGCUCACCAAGGCGACGAUUUAUAGCUGGUUUGAGAGGAUGAUCAGCAACACUGGAACUGAGACACGGUCCAGACUCCUACGGGAGGCAGCAGUCGGGAAUAUUGUGCAAUGGGGGCAACCCUGACACAGCCAUGCCGCGUGAGUGAAGAAGGCCUUAGGGUUGUAAAGCUCUUUCAGAUGUGAGGAUGAUGACGAUAGCAUCAGAAGAAGCUCCGGCUAACUUCGUGCCAGCAGCCGCGGUAAUACGAAGGGAGCUAGCGUUGUUCGGAAUUACUGGGCGUAAAGGGCGUGUAGGCGGAUUAUCAAGUUAGGGGUGAAAUCCCGGGGCUC
rnacentral:rRNA from 1 species